GGGGCCGUAGUCCAGCUUGGUAGGAUGCACGCUUGGGGUGCGUGUGGUCGCGAGUUCAAAUCUCGCCGGUCCCA
rnacentral:tRNA from 2 species